rnacentral:rRNA from 1 species
GACAGAGGGUGCAAACGUUGUUCGGAAUUACUGGGCGUAAAGCGCGCGUAGGCGGCUUUGUAAGUUAGAGGUGAAAGCCCGGAGCUCAACUCCGGAAUUGCCUUUAAGACUGCAUCGCUAGAAUCAUGGAGAGGUUAGUGGAAUUCCGAGUGUAGAGGUGAAAUUCGUAGAUAUUCGGAAGAACACCAGUGGCGAAGGCGACUAACUGGACAUGUAUUGACGCUGAGGUGCGAAAGCGUGGGGAGCAAACAGG